rnacentral:rRNA from 1 species
UACGUAGGGGGCUAGCGUUGUCCGGAAUCAUUGGGCGUAAAGAGCGCGUAGGCGGCUGGAUAAGUCCGGUGUGAAGGUCACAGGCUCAACCUGUGAAUGCCGCUGGAAACUGUCAAGCUAGAGUGCAGAAGGGGCAAUCGGAAUUCUUGGUGUAGCGGUGAAAUGCGUAGAUAUCAAGAGGAACACCUGAGGUGAAGACGGGUUGCUGGGCUGACACUGACGCUGAGGCGAGAAAGCGUGGGGAGCAAACAGG